rnacentral:rRNA from 1 species
UACGUAGGGUGCGAGCGUUAAUCGGAAUUACUGGGCGUAAAGGGUGUGCAGGCGGUUUUGCAAGAUGGAUGUGAAAGCCCCGGGCUUAACCUGGGAAAGCCAUACAUGACUGCAAGACUAGAGUGCGUCAGAGGGGGGUGGAAUUCCAAGUGUAGCAGUGAAAUGCGUAGAUAUUUGGAAGAACACCGAUGGCGAAGGCGGCCCCUGGGACGCAACUGACGCUCAUACACGAAAGCGUGGGGAGCAAACAGGAUUAGAGUA